UCCCUUAUAGUUCUAUUCCAUGAUUUUUCUUGAAAACUGAAGUAAAUAGUUGUUUAUUUAAAAAAAAAAAGAAAAAAUUUGACGCUCUCAAUACCUAUACCCUCGUUUUCUAUUGUUCGAGGUGUUAAUUUCGUCAUAAAAAAUAUUAUUUAUUGUAGUAUCUAUAAUGGACCGAUUUUGAUUUUUUUUCAAUACUUUGGCCCAACUCAAUUCAUCUAUAUAUUACUU
rnacentral:lncRNA from 1 species